GGGUUAAAUUAAUAAUUUAUGAUGAUAUGAAUAUAACUAAUAAAAAAAUUUUUAAAAUUAAAAAGAAAAAAUGGGGGUUGGAGUAUUUUUAAUAGAAAAAAUUGAAAAUUUUAUAGUUAAUUAUUACUGUAAAGGAAAUUAUAAAUAAAUGAAAUUUAAUUUAUUUAAAAGUAGAUUUAAAUUAUUGUAUCUUGUGUAUCAGAGUUUAUUUAAUAAUAAUAUUUAUUUAAAUAAAUCUCGAAUUUAAAAGAGUUAAUUAAUUAAAAAAUUUAAUGUUGAAUAAUUAUUUUAAAUAAUUAAUUAGAAAUGAAAUGUUAAUCGUUUUUAAAUAUAUCUAGUUUUUUUAGAAAAAAAUUUAAUUUUAAAUUAAAAUAAUUUUAUAAUUAAUUAAUUAAUUGUAAAAAUUUAAAAUUUAAUAUUUUAGGGGAUAAGCUUUAAAUUAAAAUAUUAUAAUUAAUUAAAAAAAAAUUAAAAUUUAUAAAAUUUAUAUUGUUUAAAAAUUUUAGUUUAUUUAUAAAAAAUUUUAAUGAAAAAUAAAAUUUUAAUUAUAUUUAAUUUUUUAUAAAAAAAUAAUUUUUAAUAAAAUUAAAUUAGAUAUAAUGAUAAAAUUAGUAUAAUAUAUUUAUAUAUAUAUAUAUAUAAAUUAAUAAGAAUUAAAUUAAAGGAAUUCAGCAAAAUUAUAUAUUCACUUGUUUAUCAAAAACAUGUCUUUUUGAAAAUAAUUUAAAGUCUAAUCUGCCCACUGAUAAAAUUAUUAAAGGGCUGCAGUAUAUUGACUGUACAAAGGUAGCAUAAUCAUUAGUCUUUUAAUUGGAGACUUGUAUGAAGGAUUUGAUGAAAUAUAAACUGUCUCUAAUUUAUUUUUAAAACUUAAUUUUUUAGUGAAAAAGCUAAAAUAUAUUUAAAAGACGAGAAGACCCUAUAGAGUUUUAUAAUUAAAUUAUUAAUUAAUAAAUAUUAAAUAUAAAAUAAUAAUUAAUUUAAUUAUUAUAUUGGGGUGAUAGGAAAAUUAAAUAAACUUUUUUUAAUAAUUAAACAUUAAUAAGUGAAUAAAUGAUCCAUUAAUAUAAUGAUUAUAAGAAAAAAUUACCUUAGGGAUAACAGCGUAAUAUUUUUUUUUAGUACAAAUAAAAAAAAAAGUUUGCGACCUCGAUGUUGGAUUAAGAUAAAAUUUAAAUGUAGAAGUUUAAAAUUUUGAUCUGUUCGAUCAUUAAAAUCUUACAUGAUCUGAGUUCAAACCGGUGUAAGCCAGGUUGGUUUCUAUCUUUAAAAAAAUAAAAUAUUUUAGUACGAAAGGAUCAAAUAUUUAAAAUAAUUUUAAUUUUAAGAAUAUUAAUAAUUAUAAUUAU
rnacentral:rRNA from 1 species